rnacentral:rRNA from 1 species
UCGAGGAUCUUCGGCAAUGGGCGCAAGCCUGACCGAGCGACGCCGCGUGUGGGAUGAAGGCCUUCGGGUUGUAAACCGCUGUCAGUGGGGAGGAAAUAUCUGGGGGUUCUCCCCCAGGUUUGACCUAUCCGCAGAGGAAGUCAGGGCUAAGUUCGUGCCAGCAGCCGCGGUAAGACGAACCUGACGAACGUUAUUCGGAAUCACUGGGCUUAAAGGGUGCGUAGGCUGUGCAGAAAGUUGGGUGUGAAAUCCCUCGGCUUAACCGAGGAACUGCGCCCAAAACUACUGUGCUCGAGUGAGAUAGAGGUGAGCGGAACUUAGGGUGGAGCGGUGAAAUGCGUUGAUAUCCUAAGGAACACCGGUGGCGAAAGCGGCUCACUGGGUCUCAACUGACGCUGAUGCACGAAAGCUAGGGGAGCGAACGG